rnacentral:tRNA from 1 species
GCGCCAUUAGCUCAACUGGAUAGAGCGUCUGACUACGGAUCAGAAGGUUGUGGAUUCGAUUUCUGCAUGGCGCGCCA